GGAUGAACGCUGGCGGCGUGCCUACUCCAUGCAAGUCGAGCGAACGGACGAGAAGCUUGCUUCUCUGAUGUUAGCGGCGGACGGGUGAGUAACACGUGGAUAACCUACCUAUAAGACUGGGAUAACUUCGGGAAACCGGAGCUAAUACCGGAUAAUAUUUUGAACCGCAUGGUUCAAAAGUAAAAGACGGUCUUGCUGUCACUUAUAGAUGGAUCCGCGCUGCAUUAGCUAGUUGGUAAGGUAACGGCUUACCAAGGCAACGAUGCAUAGCCGACCUGAGAGGGUGAUCGGCCACACUGGAACUGAGACACGGUCCAGACUCCUACGGGAGGCAGCAGUAGGGAAUCUUCCGCAAUGGGCGAAAGCCUGACGGAGCAACGCCGCGUGAGUGAUGAAGGUCUUCGGAUCGUAAAACUCUGUUAUUAGGGAAGAACAUAUGUGUAAGUAACUGUGCACAUCUUGACGGUACCUAAUCAGAAAGCCACGGCUAACUACGUG
rnacentral:rRNA from 1 species